UGGGGAAUAUUGGGCAAUGGGCGAAAGCCUGACCCAGCAACGCCGCGUGAGGGAAGAAGGUCUUCGGAUUGUAAACCUCUGUCCUUGGGGACGAAAAAAAUGACGGUACCCAAGGAGGAAGCCCCGGCUAACUACGUGCCAGCAGCCGCGGUAAUACGUAGGGGGCUAGCGUUAUCCGGAAUUACUGGGCGUAAAGGGUGCGUAGGUGGUUUCUUAAGUCAGAGGUGAAAGGCUACGGCUCAACCGUAGUAAGCCUUUGAAACUGGGAAACUUGAGUGCAGGAGAGGAGAGUGGAAUUCCUAGUGUAGCGGUGAAAUGCGUAGAUAUUAGGAGGAACACCAGUUGCGAAGGCGGCUCUCUGGACUGUAACUGACACUGAGGCACGAAAGCGUGGGGAGCAAACA
rnacentral:rRNA from 1 species